AUGUAACUUGGAUUAUUAUAAUGUCCAAACCCUUGUAGACUUGAAUUUAUCAUAGUUAAUUACCUCUGCAUGGAAUUUAGUUGCAAGAAAUAUUGCAAGUUUGGACUUCCUUGUCCCAGUUGGACCCAUCAAAAAAAUGACUCUUUCUUUC